rnacentral:piRNA from 1 species
UUACUUACUUGUUUGUUGAAA